AGCGUUGCCGCAGGCAACGACCCGAAGGGCGAAGCGCGCAGCGCUGAGUCAUCCUUCCCCCAUAGGCA
rnacentral:sRNA from 1 species